GAUGAACGCUGGCGGCGUGCCUAAUACAUGCAAGUCGAGCGAACAGACGAGGAGCUUGCUCCUCUGACGUUAGCGGCGGACGGGUGAGUAACACGUGGAUAACCUACCUAUAAGACUGGGAUAACUUCGGGAAACCGGAGCUAAUACCGGAUAAUAUAUUGAACCGCAUGGUUCAAUAGUGAAAGACGGUUUUGCUGUCACUUAUAGAUGGAUCCGCGCCGCAUUAGCUAGUUGGUAAGGUAACGGCUUACCAAGGCAACGAUGCGUAGCCGACCUGAGAGGGUGAUCGGCCACACUGGAACUGAGACACGGUCCAGACUCCUACGGGAGGCAGCAGUAGGGAAUCUUCCGCAAUGGGCGAAAGCCUGACGGAGCAACGCCGCGUGAGUGAUGAAGGUCUUCGGAUCGUAAAACUCUGUUAUUAGGGAAGAACAAAUGUGUAAGUAACUAUGCACGUCUUGACGGUACCUAAUCAGAAAGCCACGGCUAACUACGUGCCAGCAGCCGCGGUAAUACGUAGGUGGCAAGCGUUAUCCGGAAUUAUUGGGCGUAAAGCGCGCGUAGGCGGUUUUUUAAGUCUGAUGUGAAAGCCCACGGCUCAACCGUGGAGGGUCAUUGGAAACUGGAAAACUUGAGUGCAGAAGAGGAAAGUGGAAUUCCAUGUGUAGCGGUGAAAUGCGCAGAGAUAUGGAGGAACACCAGUGGCGAAGGCGACUUUCUGGUCUGUAACUGACGCUGAUGUGCGAAAGCGUGGGGAUCAAACGGG
rnacentral:rRNA from 1 species